rnacentral:lncRNA from 1 species
CGUAUUUUUCUGGCGAUGCUAUUCCGGCUGAACCAAGUCACUCUGGGCGAUAAACCUUAUACGACCCUGCUGGUAUAAAAACACGCAAAAGAGAGGGGUCUCAAAUCAGUCACGUGGCAUAUUUGGACCAAUCAAGCACGAACCUCCGCACCUGAAUUCGCUUUACGAACGUCCAAGGCGGUGUAAAAUAACUCAGUUUUAUUUGUCAAAAUGGGAUGUCCUCAGCUUCAUAAAGUCGUAAAUGCUAGCGUUUAUGACGGCAUAAAAUUUGGGAAAAAUAAAACCGUCAGGGCGUUAAUAAAGUGGUCCCAGUCCACACCGGCUCAUUUCAGUUCCGAGUGCGUGGAAGACACGUAUACAGUCCACCGUGCGAUGCGCUGUUGUUAGUUCCCGUAUUGCUGCCACUCGCCAGCACUUCUGAGCGCAGAACGCAACAGUGCACAGGUUUGACGAUGAGUCGAUCUGAAAGCCCACGGCUAGCCUUGUCCCUUCGCGUCAGUAAUUGUCAAGUCCAACGUUAAGGAGGAGAUAGCCACCCACGACUGCGAGAAAGCUCGCAGGACGAAAACAGAGCCGGUACGGGUUCGGCCAUCUUCACGCUGCGCCGAGCAGGCCCUCGUAGAGCAGUGGCGGGCUGCGGCAGGGUACUCGCCCGAGGGAGCCGGAGGCUUGGUUUAGAGGCCGGUCGGCGGAUCACCAACGGUCGGAGUUAGUGUAUUGUUGGCACAUGCUCGCGAAGACUGUCUGUUGAAAGAAUGUCAGCGGGGUUUGACACCGAGUUGUCUGCUUACUUUUGGACUGGGACUGUAAGCUCUCUUUUUCAAGAUGGGUAUUUAUCAGUUGUCAUGAAGGUUGUUUUCGCUAAGCCUACGAAUACAGACAAGCAUUGAGGAAGGCCCUGUUCAAAUGUUUCAGUACAUCGUUGCGACGAAAAAUGACUUUCAGCGUUCACAUUUUGAGGCACUCACCCAAUGCGACAGAGACACAGCACGCUGUUUCUGUGGAAAUUAUCACACGCUUCAAGGCAACUAAACUUUAAAAGGGGCUAGACGAACGGGACAGGUGCCGUGAAUGCUACCCGAAGACCAGCUAUAAACCAAGAGCGGCCUCGAUGAGUGCUGGCCUAAUGAUAUAAAUAGGGUAGCAAGACGCAGAGUUAUAAAGCGGUGUACUGAAUACUUGGCUACGACCAGCACUAACACGCACGUCUGUUGGAGAACAGCAGCAGCCGCUGAAUACUUGGCUACGACCAGCACUAACACGCACGUCUGUUGGAGAACAGCAGCAGCCGCUGGACGACUAUACCUAAAGCCCAGUCGGCGAAACUCGGUGCAGAUGCUACACGUCGCAAAGCGUCUGUUGAUCUCUCACUGGACGAAGGAAACACCACCUCCACCCGCUGAGGAAGGAGAAGCCUUUACAACUAGGAACACAUCUCAUCUGAUAGCAAUCGUGCAUUUAUGAGCGCACAUUAGUUCCAUGGCUGCUUCCUUUGAAUCAGAACUUUGAAACUUUGAAACAAGAGAAAGAAGAGAAAACCCAACGUUUUUCGGGAAUCGAUGAGUUUUUGUCACCGUCAGAGCAGAGAUUAUGUCUACUUGCAAGUGGGGCACGUAGUGUUUUUUUUUCAAACUUCAUGAUUCGAUAUUUCCACACUUGCUAAAAAUGACCAAUAACCAAAACAUAUUUAUAGUUUGGAACAAUGAAUUUCCCCCAAGACUUGCUCCACCUUCCCCCCCCCUUUCUUUUCUUCAUCACCUGGUGGCAGGGCCCAGCCUUGGAAAUCCCCUGGCUAUUCGCUAACAUUUCAAAUCAACGAGAGAGAAAGAAGGAGCAACCGAAUUGAGUUACAACUCGCCGGUCGUAAUUUUGUCUUCAGUGGCCCAGGCCGGCAUGGCAAUAAGCGGUGGAAACCGCCGGACUCAACAUCAAAAAUUCAUGCGCAGUUUGUACGCGUUUAUUUGCUCGCUCGCACUCUCUUUACCAAAAGCAAAGAACGGACGGGGAAAAAAUGAAGGGCAAUUGGUUCCCGCAAGUUGGUCGUAAAUUUUCCGGGGAGAAAAUGAAAGAAGGGGCCGGGGGGAAAGAAGGGGAAAAAAGUGUCACUGAGGAACUCGUCGGAUGCCUGGUAAUCAAGGAGACGGGUCGGUCUCGUCUUUGAGGCUGGCGGGAGAAAUGGUUGGUCGUCUGUCGUUCGUCGGAAACUCGAUCGCCCACGUCUGCGACCGGUGCCGAUUGAUCAGCCUCGGCCAUGUGUGUGCUUAGCUAGCUGGAGACCUGCCAGGCAAGGGGUGGGGGUGUUUUGGACUUGACUGACCCAGUGACCUGUGACGCAUUCCUGAGAAGGGCGCGGUGCAUUCUGGGUGAGAUGGUUGACGAUGGGAUUUUUUGACUGAUGAAGGUUUGUACACGACCAAUUCCAUGUUACAAAUUCUUUCACCCACCCGGGGAUAAGUAUUGCCGAGAAAACAAGCAAACAGUCGAUUCCCAUAGGAGCAUUCAUGUUCCUUUUAAUUUCAUUCGAACAAUAUAGAAGGGCAUGCAAUGUUGGUUUUAUUAUAAUCAAAGGAAUUCGAAUGCUACUCAUUUUGUUCCGUAUUCUGAAGCCUAGAGUUUUAUAGUUUGAUUUAUGAUAAAUACUAUAUUAUAAUGAUGUUUUCCACAAAACUGAAAAAAAUGUGUGACGUCAACCUGCAAACAGAAAACAUCUUGGAGUUGAUGUGUUAACAUGUUGCCGCCAUUUUGUAUAGCCAGACAUUUAUGUACUGCUGUAUGUUUCGUGUCAUCUGCUGUUGGGGGGAAUGUUUGACAGUCAAGACCCAAACGUGGCUUGCAGGUCCAACAAGGUCAUUUUUAAUUGACACAAUAAAUAUGAAGCAACGCUAAACGAAAUAUGCCGCGAUAAAUCACCGAAGUUAUCAAAGGUUGAAGAAAAGAUUGCGUGAACGAUAGAUGGCGCUGUUGGAACUUGACGCCAUUAUUACCGCUUAUGGAAUUAUAACAAAAUCAUUAAGCUGUUGAAGAACGCGAAAGUGAUACAUUUUACUCCCACUUCCCAUUUUGCUUACCACGAUCAGAAUUUAAAUCCUCAAUAACUACUCACUGGACAGCCACUAAUGCAAAGGUUUACAUUAUCAACACUUACUUGAAUUGUCCAUUUUGUCAGGGGAAAAAAAGGACAACCAGUGGCUAUGCAGGGGAGUCCCCCCCCACACACACACACCAUGAAGUGUGUAUUUGCCUGCAACUGGGGACCCCCUAUUGUUCCUCUUU